AAUACUAAACACCCACUACAGGUACUAUCUUAGUCACUCAAUACCAAACACCCUCUACAGGUACUAUCUUAGUCACUCAAUACCAAACACCCACUACAGGUACUAUCUUAGUCACUCAAUACCAAACACCCACUACAGGUACUAUCUUAGUCACUCAAUACCAAACACCCACUACAGGUACUAUCUUAGUCACUCAAUACCAAACACCCACUACAGGUACUAUCUUAGUCACUCAAUACCAAACACCCACUACAGGUACUAUCUUAGUCACUCAAUACCAAACACCCACUACAGGUACUAUCUUAGUCACUCAAUACCAAACACC